rnacentral:lncRNA from 1 species
UAUUUAUAUCCAUCCUCAUUUAAUCUGAGCUGUCCAUUGCAUUUGAUUUGGAUCGUCCGAUCACGAUUAAAUAGGGAGUGAAUUUGGACCGUUCAUCGCGAUCUAAUCUGGACCUUUGAUCACGAUCUAAUCUGGACCGUCCGAUCGUAUUUGGGGAGAGAACGCAUCCAAGCCGUCCAUGCGCACUGGAACGAAUCUAGGUCGUUCGAUCGCGGGCAUGUGGAUCGCCCGCAUGACCUCCCACAUGCACCGCAUCAGCGUUUGUUGCCACACAACGCGUUCUGAUUCACCAGGACCACUGAUCGGGUAUCCUAUGUGGCACAAGUUUUCUAAAUUACAUUUUGAUCUC